rnacentral:rRNA from 1 species
UACGUAGGGCGCAAGCGUUGUCCGGAAUUAUUGGGCGUAAAGAGCUCGUAGGCGGUCUGUCGCGUCCGUUGUGAAAACUCGAGGCUCAACCUCGGGCUUGCAGUGGAUACGGGCAGACUAGAGUGCGGUAGGGGAGACUGGAAUUCCUGGUGUAGCGGUCGAAUGCGCAGAUAUCAGGAGGAACACCGAUGGCGAAGGCAGGUCUCUGGGCCGCAACUGACGCUGAGGAGCGAAAGCAUGGGGAGCGAACAGG